rnacentral:rRNA from 1 species
CUAGCGACUUCAGAGUUUGAUCCUGGCUCAGGAUGAACGCUAGCUACAGGCUUAACACAUGCAAGUCGAGGGGCAGCACAGUGUAGCAAUACACGGGUGGCGACCGGCGCACGGGUGCGUAACGCGUAUCCAACCUUCCCGUUACUCUGGGAUAGCCUUCCGAAAGGGAGAUUAAUACCGGAUGGUGUUCAAGUGGUGCAUAUUAUUUGAACUAAAGAUUUAUCGGUAACGGAUGGGGAUGCGUACCAUUAGAUAGUAGGCGGGGUAACGGCCCACCUAGUCGACGAUGGUUAGGGGUUCUGAGAGGAAGGUCCCCCACACUGGAACUGAGACACGGUCCAG